UGGAAGGAUAUGGUGGCUGAAAUAAGGCAUGAGGCACAGAUACAGAUUUCCUGACUCAACUUCUGGUGCAGAUAACAUUGUUACAGUCCACAGAUUUAUAAUGCCCUUUUGGUGGAUGGACUGAGUCCCAUGAAGCCAGAUCACUUCUGACUGCAAGGAGCUUGGAAAAGCAAGUAUCUGAAUCUUUUACCAGCUAAAUUUGGAGGCUUGGUGUUGUGACCUGCUUAAACCAAGAGAUAUGCCACAUCUGAGCAGUUCUUUUCCUUGUGGCCCCUGCCAUGAGAGCAGCGUGUACAAGGUGGAUGCUGCUGCUUUAGCAUGGAUCCUGGGAUGAGAAGACUCAGGGAGCAGGCUCUGCCAACCCGCAGUCUGCAGCAGAGCCGCAGCCAGCAGUAGUCCUCAUUCAACAGGAGGUGGAAAAAACUGCUCGUCAUCCUUAGCUCUGAGAUUUGGGGGUUGUUUGUUAUCACAGAAGAUACUGUCUCAUAGAAGUUUUUAAUAUGACUGCUACUACAACAACUAUUGCUAUAAUGUUUACAGCAAUCAUUGCUACUUUACAUUCCAAAAGUAUUAUUGCCUGCAAGCUGCUAUCAAAUAGAUGAUCUUGUUGGAAACUCACAGCUACAAGGGCAGGUGAGGAAGCUGAAGUAAUGAGUAAGAGAAGUUAAUGAAUUAUCCCAAGGUCAAAGUACUAGAAACUAGAAGGAGAGGAUUUGAACUCAGAUUUUCUUAUUUCAAGUUGUCGUUUUUCUGGACCUUAGUUUACUAGUCUCCAAUACAUUUUACAGAUUUCUCAAGUCAUCUUAAGUGUAGCAUGCUAUCUCAAUUGUCCAUCACUUCACCUAUAGAGACCCUGUCUCUAUAGGUACUUCAUUAUACAAUUCCCUCACUGGCAUUUCCAAGGCCUUCUAGUAGGCUCAAGGGAAAGAUGAAAAUCCUUAACAUGUUUGACACAAUUCUGACUUGUGUAAGUUCUGCACAUCUCCCAAGCCUCAAAUUCCUCCUUAGUUGCCUCCUGGAUUGCUCUCUGGCCUCCAGCUGUACUAACGUUUUUUGGAAGCCCAUGGGGAAGUCAUGCCUUUUUCAGCCACAGGACUUUGUGCGUAUAAUAAUUUUUUUCUGCCAAAAUGUCACCUCUGUACCCUAAAUUCCUACCAUGUACCAUCCUUGUUCUCCUCACCAUCUAUUCUGGAUCUCUACUCAAUAGUCAAUGGGCGGGAGACCUCCCCUGACUUUCUGAUCAAGUCAAUCCCCAUACUUAAAGGGCAUUCACCUCUGCCUCAGUGGUGGUUAAUGUGGUUCUCUUUGUGUAAUGUCUCUUUUUCCUUUAUUAUUCUAUUUAUAAUUGCUUGUUUAUUCAUUUUGCUCACCCUAGUACCUAGCACACUGCCUGCUACAUAGGAGGUAUUCCGCAAACAUUUCUUAAAUCUCUGAAUACUCAGAUAUAAUGCUGAAUGCUAAAUAUUCAGCUGCAGUGCUGUAGCUGAGCUGUCAGAAAUGGGGUAGAAGUGUCUUGAGUUUUGAUAAGGAGAGGGAUCUGCUUGUUACAUGAACUGGAAAUAGUGAUGAGAUGGAAAUUUGGUGUGAAGAAGCCAAGAGGUCAUUUGUGGUCAUUGUAACAUCACCAGGUAAUGAUCAGAGAGGCAAUAGAGAGCAUCCCUCAGUGGCUGUGUCUACACAAGACUCACCACUUUGAAGAAGCACAUGCCAAGAACUCACAUCCCGUUAGUGGCUUAAGUCUUUGAACUUUCUUUCCAGUUUCAUAAAAGUUUUGUUUACAGACUUGACCAGCAGUAAAGCUAAGACGUUUGCAUGUGUUUUACCAGCCCUAUCAUUUUAGUAGGCCUUGAUUUCUGGAAGAUUAUUUUUCUCUGCAGAUUUUAUUCUUUUUUCCCCUUUGUUUUAAUAAAUAGCAUCUUUCAGGCCAAGUAGAAAAGAGGAUGAAGUAUAUCCUGCAAAUCUAAGGAUGGCACAAUGGCAACCACUGUUAUGGAGCACUAACUGCUUUCUUGUAUUAUUGUUUAGUUAUGAGGGCAACCUAGGUUGUUCAUGUCUAUAUUUUCAAAUGUCUUUUCAUUUUCUAUCCUUUUAUUUUUAGUAGAGAUCUGUUAAGAAUUUUCACUCUCUUUCAUUGGGCUGCUUUUCAAUCUUAUUUCACAGGUAGCAAUAUUAGAUUUCUACUAAAAAAUAAAAACUAAAAAA
rnacentral:lncRNA from 1 species